GCUAGGCACGGUGGCGCACACCUGUAAUCCCAGCAACUCGGGAGGCUGAGGCAGGAGGAUCACAAGUUCAAGGCCAGCCUCAGCAAUUUAGAAAGACCCUGUCUCAA
rnacentral:sRNA from 1 species